rfam:Picea glauca, whole genome shotgun sequence.
UACAACAUAGCAUUAAUGCACCGAAUCCCAUUAGAACUCCACAGUUAAGCACGCUCAAGAUAUAGUAGUACUGGGAUGGGUGCCUUCCUGGGAAGUCCUAGUGUUUUAC